ACGAACGCUGGCGGCAUGCCUAACACAUGCAAGUCGAACGAAGGCUUCGGCCUUAGUGGCGCACGGGUGCGUAACGCGUGGGAAUCUGCCCUUGGGUUCGGAAUAACUCGGAGAAAUUUGAGCUAAUACCGGAUGAUGUCGCAAGACCAAAGAUUUAUCGCCCGAGGAUGAGCCCGCGUAGGAUUAGCUAGUUGGUGAGGUAAAGGCUCACCAAGGCGACGAUCCUUAGCUGGUCUGAGAGGAUGAUCAGCCACACUGGGACUGAGACACGGCCCAGACUCCUACGGGAGGCAGCAGUGGGGAAUAUUGGACAAUGGGCGAAAGCCUGAUCCAGCAAUGCCGCGUGAGUGAUGAAGGCCCUAGGGUUGUAAAGCUCUUUUACCCGGGAUGAUAAUGCCAGUACCGGGAGAAUAAGCCCCGGCUAACUCCGU
rnacentral:rRNA from 1 species